rnacentral:rRNA from 1 species
UGGGGAAUAUUGGACAAUGGGGGCAACCCUGAUCCAGCAAUGCCGCGUGUGUGAAGAAGGUUUUCGGAUUGUAAAGCACUUUCGACGGGGACGAUGAUGACGGUACCCGUAGAAGAAGCCCCGGCUAACUUCGUGCCAGCAGCCGCGGUAAUACGAAGGGGGCUAGCGUUGCUCGGAAUGACUGGGCGUAAAGGGCGUGUAGGCGGUUUGUACAGUCAGAUGUGAAAUCCCCGGGCUUAACCUGGGAGCUGCAUUUGAUACGUGCAGACUAGAGUGUGAGAGAGGGUUGUGGAAUUCCCAGUGUAGAGGUGAAAUUCGUAGAUAUUGGGAAGAACACCGGUGGCGAAGGCGGCAACCUGGCUCAUAACUGACGCUGAGGCGCGAAAGCGUGGGGAGCAAAC